AUGAACACCACUUUGAAAACCGGACAUAUGUGGACGAAAUCUGCAGAAAAAGUUCAGAUAAUUUGGGCAUAAUCGGUGUGCGAACUACUAUUCUUUUCCACCAGCUGUUGCAGUGUGGCCAGGAGUGUAAAUAUUCGCAAAUUUGCAAAAUUGUGCUCAGCUCUGGUAUUCUGAAUUUAGCGAAGAAUGCAAAUUUCGAAUAUCUUAUUCAUCAUUUAGUUCGAGGUGCCUUUCUUAUAUCUAUGAAUAAGACCUGGAGUCCUGAGAGAUGUUAUUAAAUCUAGUUCUAAUUAUCCUCUCGGUAAUUAAUCCAAUAUCAAAUGAGACACUGAGGGACAACUCUCAAAAUCUUAGAAGUGAAUCUGAUACUGAACAUGCGCAGUUGUUCUUAAAUACCAAGUUCUUACUUGAAUCAAAAGAUGAAAGAUAUCUGAGAAAUAAAGAACUUAAUCCCAAUAGAAAUAUAGACCACAAUAUUGGAAAUAUAGACCAUCAUUUUGGUAAUAUAGACCAUCAUCUUGGAAAUACAGAACACAAUCUGUCAAAUAUAGACCAAUAUCUUGGAAAUACAGACCACCAUUUUGAAACUCAAACAUUAGAUAUUUCCUAUCUCGAAGAAUCAGACUAUACUUUAGUUGUUCCUACAUCAACUACAACGGUUAGAAAUAGACGAGCUGCUAAGGGAAAGAGAAAAAAGCAGAAUAAAUCAGAUCCUGGAGAAUAUUUUGCAUCCGCCUCUAGUUCUAAAUCUAAGAAUAAACUCAACUACGCCUUCCUUAAACCUCAAAUAGUUCCAGCUAAAGAAGAAUGUAAACCUAGCAGUUCUAUUAGUGCUUUUACAUUCCUGAACUUUGUACUUGCUGCUGGAAGUAUAGCCGCUAACAUUGCUUCUAACGUGAAUGAUAACAAUAAUAAUAACAACAACAACAACAAUGAUAAUAAUGAUAACACAAACAACAUCAGUGUGCAGAACAACAACAACAAUUCCAACAACAGCAACGCAAUUAUGGUUCCUGUGGGAAGAAAGAGAAGAAGUAGAAGAAGAAGAUUCGUAAAUAGAAUAAUAAAAUUAUUCGAGAACAAUCUAAAAUCUAAAAUUUAAAAUCUAAAAAUGAUCCUCCUUGCUCUGCUAUUUUUGAGUGAGGUGUACUGCAGCCAAAACCUGUUGUUUGUAAACAAAUACUCCGGAAUCAAGAUAUCUGAUAGAAAUGAAGUUUAUCGCCCAGUACUACCCUCUAUUGAGCAUCUAAAUGAUCUUGAAACAGUUCUGAUAAAAGAAUAUCAUAGAAGAGUGAAAAGAAACUCAGAGUUUCAAGGCAGACGAUAUGUUAUUUAUGAUCGGAAACCGGAGGAAAAAAAGAAAAAGAAAAAGAGCAAAUGCCCGGCAAAGAGAGGAAUAUCAAGCUUAACUUUUCUCAACUUUGCCAUCGGCGCAGUAUCCCUUGCAGCUAAUGUAGUGAAUAAUAUAAACAACAACAACAACAAUAAUAACAACAAUAACAAUGAUAACAACAAUAAUAUUGCUAAUAUUAAUAUUGGAAAUAAUAAUAAUGCUGGAAACAAUCAAAAUACUGUUGGGUUUACACCAAUGAAUGGAAGAAGAAAAAGAGAGGCAAUAGAGAACAAUUUACAGAAAAGAUCUGAAGAGGAUGUUCUAAAAGCCAACUUGUUACAGAAUCUGCUGUUUAACUAUGUUAAUUCUAAUUUUAAAGUUGAUUCGUGUAACUCCAAGGAGAUAAAAAUCGGAAACAUCCAAUGCCACAUACAAGCACAGUGGACCAGUCAAAUACAAAAUGAUGUUUUAUAAAAAGUUCAGUGAAAAUAGUCUUUUCUAUAACCUAAGUGAAAUAAUUGUUUUAAAAAACUUAACUAUUAACUAAAAACUUUUGAAUUAGUCUAUUAGAAAGUAAGGAUAAAGAUUAAAUAGAUAGUUGUAAGGAAUAAGUUAGCUAUAUUAACCUAGAAAAUAUUAUAUGCUCU
rnacentral:misc_RNA from 1 species